rnacentral:rRNA from 1 species
UACAGAGGGUGCAAGCGCUAAUCGGAAUUACUGGGCGUAAAGCGUGCGUAGACGGUUACAUAAGUCGGGUGUGAAAGCCCCGGGCUCAACCUGGGAAUUGCAUUCGAGACUGCGUAGCUAGGGUGCGGAAGAGGGAAGCGGAAUUUCCGGUGUAGCGGUGAAAUGCGUAGAUAUCGGAAGGAACACCAGUGGCGAAAGCGGCUUCCUGGUCCAGCACCGACGUUCAGGCACGAAAGCGUGGGGAGCAAACAGG